rnacentral:tRNA from 1 species
GGGCUUGUAGCUCAGUGGUAGGGCACUUGCCUGGCAUGUGUGAGGCACUGAGUUCAAUGCUCAGCACCA